AUCUGGAGAGGAUGCUUCUGGCGCGGCGCCUUCCGAGUUCCCUGGAACGGGACGCCGGAGAGGGUGAGAGCCCCGUACGGUCGGACGCCUAGCCUUUGUGAAGCUCCUUCGACGAGUCGAGUAGUUUGGGAAUGCUGCUCAAAAUGGGAGGUAAAUUUCUUCUAAAGCUAAAUAUUGGCCAGAGACCGAUAGCGCACAAGUAGAGUGAUCGAAAGAUGAAAAGCACUUUGAAAAGAGGGUUAAAAAGUACGUGAAAUUGUUGAAAGGGAAGCGCCCGUGGCCAGACUUGUGCCCCGUGGACCACCCAGCGCCCUCAGCGCUGGUGCACUCCGCGGGGCGCAGGCCAGCAUCGGUUUUUCCAGGGGGACAAAGGCGGCGGGAACGUGGCUCCCUCGGGAGUGUUAUAGCCCGCCGCGCCAUGCCCCUGGGGGGACCGAGGACCGCGCUUCGGCAAGGAUGCUGGCGUAAUGGCCACCGGCGACCCGUCUUGAAACACGGACCAAGGAGUCAAGCAUUGGGGCGAGUGUCUGGGUGCCAAACCCGCACGCGAAAUGAAAGUGAACGCAGGUGAGAGCUUCGGCGCAUCAUCGACCGAUCCUGAUGUUCUCGGAUGGAUUUGAGUAAGAGCCUUACCGCUUGGACCCGAAAGAUGGUGAACUAUGCCUGUAUAGGGUGAAGCCAGAGGAAACUCUGGUGGAGG
rnacentral:rRNA from 2 species